rnacentral:rRNA from 1 species
GACGAACGCUGGCGGCGUGCCUAAUACAUGCAAGUAGAACGCUGAAGCGAGGAGCUUGCGCUUCUUGGGUGUGUUGCGAACGGGUGAGUAACGCGUAGAUCACCUGCCUUGUAGCGGGGGAUCACUAUUGGAAACGAUAUCUAAUACGACAUAACAUGGGCUUACAUGGUGCGUUUUUGAAAGUGGGGCAGUUGGCGCAUGACAACGUGGACUUGCGUUGUAUUAGUUGGUAGGUGAGGUACUGGCUCACCUAGGCGACGAUACAUAGCCGACGUGCUAGGGUGAUCGGCCACACUGGGACUGAGACACGGCCCAGACUCCUACGGGAGGCAGCAGGAGGGAAUCUUCGGCAAUGGGGGGAACCCUGACCGAGCAACGCCGCGUGAGUGAAGAAGGGUGUCGGAUCGGAAAGGUCGGUUGUAAGUCAAGAACGGGUGUGAGAGUGGAAAGUUCACACUGUGACGGUAGCUUACCAGAAAGCGACGGCUAACUACGUG